rnacentral:tRNA from 1 species
AUGUCCUUAGUGUAAUGGUAGCACGACAGUCUCCAAAACUGUUUGUCUUAGUUCGAAUCUAAGAGGAUAUGCCA